rnacentral:misc_RNA from 1 species
AGCAGCCGCGGUAAUUCCAGCUCCAAUAGCGUAUAUUAAAGUUGUUGCAGUUAAAAAGCUCGUAGUUGAAUUUCGGGAUCAAUAUGUCGGUCGUGCCUUCGGUACGUACUGGUAUCAUUGGUCUCUCCUUUCUGACGAACCAUGAUGUCAUUAAUUUGGUGUUAUGGGGAGUUAGGACUGUUACUUUGAAAAAAUUAGAGUGUUUAAAGCAGGCUUUAGCUUGAAUACAUUAGCAUGGAAUAAUGAAAUAGGACGUUCGAACCUAUUUUGUUGGUUUCUAGGAUCAACGUAAUGAUUAAUAGGGAUAGUUGGGGGCAUUAGUAUUCAAUUGUCAGAGGUGAAAUUCUUGGAUUUAUUGAAGACUAACUACUGCGAAAGCAUUUGCCAAGGAUGUUUUCAUUAAUCAAGAACGAAAGUUAGGGGAUCGAAGACGAUCAGAUACCGUCGUAGUCUUAACCAUAAACUAUGCCGACUAGGGAUCGGAUGAUGUUAAUUUUUAAUGACUCAUUCGGCGCCUUAU